ACCAGAUCUAAUACACUCUCCUCUCCUCCUUUUUAGAUCUCUCUUUCGCAACUUGCAAAAGUCUAAGAUUGGGGAGAAUUGCGGAACGAGGGGAAUUUUGAUUGAAGAAAGUAAAAAUGGCGGGUGGUGCAGCUGGUGGUUUUGUUACACGGGCAUUUGAGUCGAUGCUGAAAGAAUGUUCGGGGAAAAAACAUCCAGAACUUCAGAAGGCUAUUCAGAAUUAUAUAGAUGGUACGAAAGAGGUCAAUCAGGUUCAGCCUUCCGCUUCUAGUGAG